AGAGCGAACGCUGGCGGCAGGCCUAAUACAUGCAAGUCGAACGGAUCCUUCGGGAUUAGUGGCGGACGGGUGAGUAACACGUGGGAACGUGCCCUUUGGUUCGGAACAACUCAGGGAAACUUGAGCUAAUACCGAAUGUGCCCUUCGGGGGAAAGAUUUAUCGCCAUUGGAGCGGCCCGCGUCUGAUUAGCUAGUUGGUGAGGUAAAGGCUCACCAAGGCGACGAUCAGUAGCUGGUCUGAGAGGAUGAUCAGCCACACUGGGACUGAGACACGGCCCAGACUCCUACGGGAGGCAGCAGUAGGGAAUCUUGCGCAAUGGGCGAAAGCCUGACGCAGCCAUGCCGCGUGAAUGAUGAAGGUCUUAGGAUUGUAAAAUUCUUUCAGCGGGACGAUAAUGACGGUACCCGCAGAAGAAGCCCCGGCUAACUUCGUGCCAGCAGCCGC
rnacentral:rRNA from 1 species